GCCCCCGUAGCUCAAUGGAUAGAGUAGCGGUUUCCUAAACCGUCGAUGCAGGUCCGAUUCCUGCCAGGGGCA
rnacentral:tRNA from 1 species